rnacentral:lncRNA from 1 species
UUGAUGCCAGUUUCCUCAGAAGAAGCUUCUGUGACUACUGCGGCAGGAGUCUCAGCUUCAGCAACAGGUACUUCGGACACUUUCUCAACGUCUUCAGUUGCUACAGCUUCUGGAGAUGAAACUUCAUCAGGUACAGUUUCAGCCACAGGUACUUCGGCCACCACUUCCUCCUUCUUCUCAACGUCUUCACUUGCUACAGCUUCUGAAGAUGGAACUUCAUCAGGUACAGCUUCAGCAACAGGUACUUCAGCCACCACUUCCUCCUUCUUCUCAACGUCUUCACUUACCACAGCCUCUGGAGAUGAAACUUCAUCAGUGGCUGAACUUUGAGGAAUAGAGUUCUCAGAAACUUCCUCUUCAC